rnacentral:misc_RNA from 1 species
GAUGAAGAACGCAGCGAAAUGCGAUAAGUAAUGUGAAUUGCAGAAUUCAGUGAAUCAUCGAAUCUUUGAACGCACAUUGCGCCCCUUGGUAUUCCGAGGGGCAUGCCUGUUCGAGCGUCAUUAUAACCCCUCAAGCUCAGCUUGGUGUUGGGGCCUGCUGCACUGGCAGCCCUUAAAAUCAGUGGCGGCGCCAUCUGGCUCUAAGCGUAGUAAUUCUUCUCGCUAAGGAGUCCUGGUGGAUGCUUGCCAUCAACCCCCAAUUUUUCUAUGGUUGACCUCGGAUCAGGUAGGGAUACCCGCUGAACUUAAGCAUAUCAAUAAGCGGAGGA